rnacentral:rRNA from 1 species
ACGUAGGUGACUUGCCCCGAAGAUGGGGAUAACCUCUGGAAACGGGGGCUAAUACCCAAUGUGCUCGGUGAUUCGGUUGAUCGAGUAAAGCUCCGGCGCUUCGGGAGAGGCCUGCGGCCCAUCAGCUAGUUGGUAGGGUAACGGCCUACCAAGGCAGAGACGGGUAGGGGGCGUGAGAGCGCGGACCCCCACACUGGCACUGCGACACGGGCCAGACUCCUACGGGAGGCAGCAGUAAGGAAUAUUGCGCAAUGGACGAAAGUCAGACGCAGCGACGCCGCGUGGGCGAUGAAGGCCUUCGGGUUGUAAAGCCCUUUUAUGGGGGAAGAGAAAAAGGACGGUACCCCAUGAAUAAGUCCCGGCUAACUACGUGCCAGCAGCCGCGGUAAAACGUAGGGGACAAGCGUUAUCCGGAUUCACUGGGCGUAAAGAGCGUUGAGGCGGUUCCGUAAGUUGGGCGUGAAAGCUCCGGGCUUAACCCGGAGAUGUCGUUCAAUACUGCGGGGCUUGAGGACAGCAGAGGAAGGUGGAAUUCCCGAUGUAGUGGUGAAAUGCGUAGAUAUCGGGAGGAACACCCGUGGCGAAGGCGGCCUUCUGGGCUGUUCCUGACGCUGAAGGCGAAAGCUAGGGGAGCGAACGGGAUUAGAUACCCCGGUAGUCCUAGCUGUAAACGAUGGAUGCUGGGUGUGGGGGGUGUAAAUUCCCUCUGUGCCGAAGCAAACGCGUUAAGCAUCCCGCCUGGGGACUACGGCCGCAAGGCUAAAACUCAAACGAAUUGACGGGGGCCCGCACAAGCAGCGGAGCGUGUGGUUUAAUUCGAUGCUACACGAAGAACCUUACCUGGGUUUGACAUGCACGUGGUAGGGAACCGAAAGGGGACCGACCUUCGGGAGCGUGCACAGGUGCUGCAUGGCUGUCGUCAGCUCGUGCUGUGAGGUGUGGGGUUAAGUCCGGUAGAGAGCGCAGCCCUUGCCCUUAGUGGCAAGUGUCUUAGGGGACUGCCCGGGUCAAUUGGGAGGAAGGUGGGGAUGAUGUCAAGUCAGCAUGUCCUUUAUAUCCAGG